GGAAUACCGGACGAGAAAUCGCCGACAAUACCGCAUAGGCUCUGGGGGUUCACAGCCCACGAGCAAAGACUCCGCAAGGAGGCGCUGGAAGAGGGGCCCGUGGCCGAUUAGCUGGUUGGUGGGGUAACGGCCUACCAAGGCGACGAUCGGUUGCUGGUCUGAGAGGACGAUCAGCCACACUGGGAUUGAGAACGGCCCAG
rnacentral:rRNA from 1 species